rnacentral:rRNA from 1 species
AUUGAACGCUGGCGGCAUGCCUAACACAUGCAAGUCGAGCGAGCGGCGGACGGGUGAGUAAUGUCUGGGAAACUGCCUGCUGGAGGGGGAUAACUACUGGAAACGGUAGCUAAUACCGCAUACCAUCAGAUGUGCCCAGAUGGGAUUAGCUAGUAGGUGGGGUAACGGCUCACCUAGGCGACGAUCCCUAGCUGGUCUGAGAGGAUGACCAGCCACACGGGAACUGAGACACGGUCCAGACUCCGACGGGAGGCAGCAGUGGGGAAUAUGGAACAAUGGGCGAAAGCCUGAUGCAGCAAUGCCGCGUGAGUGAAGAAGGCCUUCGGGCUGUAAAGCACUUUCAGCGGGGAGGCGUUACCCGCAGAAGAAGCACCGGCUAACUCCGUGCCAGCAGCCGCGGUAAUAC